AGUGAACGCUGGCGGUAGGCCUAACACAUGCAAGUCGAACGGCAGCACAGUAAGAGCUUGCUCUUACGGGUGGCGAGUGGCGGACGGGUGAGGAAUACAUCGGAAUCUACUUUUUCGUGGGGGAUAACGUAGGGAAACUUACGCUAAUACCGCAUACGACCUACGGGUGAAAGCAGGGGAUCUUCGGACCUUGCGCGAUUGAAUGAGCCGAUGUCGGAUUAGCUAGUUGGCGGGGUAAAGGCCCACCAAGGCGACGAUCCGUAGCUGGUCUGAGGGGAUGAUCAGCCACACUGGAACUGAGACACGGUCCAGACUCCUACGGGAGGCAGCAGUGGGGAAUAUUGGACAAUGGGCGCAAGCCUGAUCCAGCCAUACCGCGUGGGUGAAGAAGGCCUUCGGGUUGUAAAGCCCUUUUGUUGGGAAAGAAAAGCAGCAGGUUAAUACCCCGCUGUUCUGACGGUACUCAAAGAAUAAGCACCGGCUAACUUCGUG
rnacentral:rRNA from 1 species